AUUUUCAACAGGACUGUUUCGUAACGAAAACCGGUGAUUAACUAUGAUUGGAAAAGUACAGAUUUACUCUUUGGUAGUGAUGGCGGUAAUGAUCUUCUUGAUGACGCUAUCCCCAGUGUCCGGCGCCGGGCCCUUGAGACCACCUCAGUGCAUACUUUGUCGUAGUGGAGAAGCCUCAUCGUCAAGCGAAUCAUCAAGCUCAUCAAGCGAAUCUCGUUAACGAUCAAAAUUCCGUAACUACCUUGAAGUAGAAAAUAACGGCAAUUCCAUUCGACGAAUCUUCAUUUUAAUGUUUAAAUCACGAAUUCUAUAUUUCUUUUAUUAGUAUCUUUGCACGAUUGAGAGCAUUAUGAGCGUGUAUGAUGAUGAAUAAAUUACCCAGAUAGAAAAUA